UACGUAGGGGGCAAGCGUUGUCCGGAUUUACUGGGCGUAAAGAGUGUGUAGGCGGCCAAGCAGGUCCGUUGUGAAAACUGGAGGCUUAACCUCCAGACGUCGACGGAAACCGCGUGGCUAGAGUCCGGAAGAGGAGAGUGGAAUUCCUGGUGUAGCGGUGAAAUGCGCAGAUAUCAGGAAGAACACCGGUGGCGAAGGCGCUCUGCUAGGCCGUAACUGACACUGAGGGACGAAAGCUAGGGGAGCGAAUGGG
rnacentral:rRNA from 1 species